AUAAAUAAUUGACAUUUUCACAAAAAAUCACUUAACGUCAAUAUUGCCUACUUGACUGCUUCUUUUUCUUUAUCUCUUUAUCCCGACAAACAAACAGCGUCGUAAUCAUCACUGUAUUGCCUCGUUUCUCAAGGGCUUUCAACCUCAGUAAUCCCUUAUCAACUACAAAAUAUACAUCCAAACAACUGAAAUGUAUUUUAUUUUUUAUUUACAAAAGAGUCUCUUAAAAAAUCAUUAAUCACUUUGAUUACACAUUAAGUCAGAUAAAUGAUAACCUCUGUAGAAAUCGCUUAUUUUACUAUCUUCGUUUAGUGGAAUAGUACCUAAACGGACUAUUGUUGUAUCCAAAAGUAAGUAUAAUGAAUAAAUGAGGACUAAAUUUGCGCAAUAAAGCAUAGCCAAAAAAUGACAAA